UAUAUAAAGAAACUAUUAUGGAAAAUUAGCUAUAUAUUAAAGAUACUUAGUAUACACUACUAAAAUCUUAGAAAAAUCUAAUAAAAAAACAAAGUGAAUUGAAAUAUCUUAGUAACUUUAGGAAAAAAAAUCAAACGAGAUUCUAUAAUUGGUGUAAACUAAUAUAGAAAAGCUUCUCAAAGUAAAAUGGAAAAAAAUCUGUUUGAAUAUAGGGGAACCUUCCUCUAAAGCUAAAUAUGAUAUAUAAGCGAUAGUAAAAAGUACCGUGAGGUAAAAUUUGAAAUAGUAGUUUUAUAAGCAGCUCAAGUUAAAUAUAGUAAAAAAUAAGAGCGUACCUUUUGCAUAAUGGGUCAGCAAGUUAAAAUUAGAAGCAAGCGACAAUUUUUUUUUGAAAAGUAUACUAUUAUAUAUAUUUGUUAGUAAUAACUUCUAUAUAUAACUUUUACUUUGGAGCUCGGCGGAGUCAUCGACCCUCUUUUUUCUACUCUACAGGUAAAAAAGGAGGCUCUGGUAUAUUAAAAAAAAGAAUCGCCCAGAUAAACCAAUUAUGAAAAAAUGAAAAAGUUUCUAAAUUUAGACCCGAAGACUAGUGAUCUUACCAUGAUCAGGGUUAAAAAGGCCCGAACGGUAUAUCGUUGUAAAGAUAUCCGAUGAAUUGUGGUAAGUUGGUGAAAGAUAAAACUGACUAGUAAUAGCUGGUUUUCCGCGAAACCUAUGUGAGUAGGUAGUUUAACUAACAUCUUAGCAGGUACAGAACUGUGAUCUCGGACAAUAACUAAAAAAUUAGAUUUUGUAAACAUCGGGGGAUCGUAGUGAUUUUAUCGGAGAGUAUUUGCACUCGGAAGGGCAAAGAUGAAUGUUGAAUAAUCGGACAUAGUGCGAUAAGGUUGUAUGUCUAAAGGGAAACAGCCCAGAACAAGAGUUAUAAGGUUCCAAAAUUAUUGUUAAGUGAAAUUAAGGAUGUUAAUAUCAAAUACAAUCAGGAAAUAGGCUUAGAAGCGGCCAUUUUUUGAAGACCUCGUAACAGAGCACUGAUUUAAAAUUAAUAGAUAUUAAAACCGAAAAUAUAACGGAUCUAAACAAUAUACCGAAACCUUGUACAUAUAUAAAAUAUAAAAUAUAUAUGGGGUAGCGGAACAUUGGAUAUAUAGAGUUUAUUUCUUAUCAAUAGAGAUAAAUAUAAAAGCGAGCAGCUUCAAUAAUCCAGGAGAGAAUGCUGACAUGAGUAACGAAAAAGGAAUAAAUUUCCUCGCCUUAAGCUUAUGGUAUUUUAAUUAAAUUUCGGUAUCUAAGUAAUUAAACCAAACUAUAGAAGGGGUAAUCCUAGAGGGGUUUGGUAUAUGAUGAUUUUAUAAGAUUUUUUAUGUUAAUUGGUACAGUUAUUCGUAUCCUUAAUAAUAUUUUGAGAAAUAAAAACCUUUAUUAAGUGUUAAAGGUUCGGGAAAAAAAAUCAAAAUAAAAGAAAAAUCAAAAAUAUAACUAAUAUAUAUAUAUACGAUUAAUUGUAUAAUUUCUUAAUGUAUAUAUUAAUGCGAAUCAAAAUAAAAGAAAAAUCAAAAAUAUAACUAAUAUAUAUAUAUACGAUUAAUUGUCUAUAUUAAUGCGAAUCAAAAUAAAAGAAAAAAAAUCUAAAGAAAAAAAAUAUAUAUAUAUUAGACAAUAAUUUGUCCUAAAACCGUACCUAAAUACUAACACAAGUAAGCAAGUAGAGUAUACAAAGGCGUUUGAGUGAACAAUCCUUAAGGAACUCGGCAAAAUGACUACCGUAACUUCGGGAUAAGGAGGGCCAUUAUAAUAGAUAGGUGUAAAUACAUAUCUAGUUUAUAAGAGGAAGCAUAGAAUAGUGUUGUACGACUGUUUAAUAAAAACAAAGCACUCUGCAAAGAUAAAAUAUCUAAGUAUUGAGUGUGAUGUCUGCCCGAUGUCGGCAGGGUAACUGAUUUUCUUAAUUUAAAAAAUUAGGUUUUGAUGGACACCCCGAUGAAUGGCGGCCUUAUCUAUAAGGGUCCUAAGGUAGCGGAAUACCUUGGCCGUUAAAUGCGGUCUUUGCAUGAAUGACUUAACGAUACAACAGCUGUCUCGAGGAUUGGCUCAGUGAAAUUGAAUUAGCAGUGCAGAUGCUGCUUACCUCUAGGUAGACGAGAAGACCCUAUGCAGCUUUACUGUUACCUAUUAUGGGUAUAGUAUGAUAAUUUUCAGUGGAUAAGGUAAUUCAUAUGGAAUUGGAACACCUUUAUUUGUUCUAUUAUAUUUUUAAAUGAUAGGAAGGCAGUUUAUGCGGGGCACAGAUCCCAUAAAAAGUACCUGGGUAUAUCCAAAGUUCAUAUUGUAAAUUAGUAAAUUAUAAAUUUACUAACUAAUAAUUUAUCUAUAUAUAAAUGAUAAAUUAUAAAUUUAUUUUGUUAUUAAUUAUAAAAAAUAAUUAUCCAGUUAUAUUUUGCUUUAAAUACAAACUUAUAAUACUGUUAAGUAAGAUUUUAACUAUAAGGUAAAUAGAUGUAAUUCUAUUAUUAAUAAAAAUAUUAAUAAUAAACUCAUAUAUAUAAAAAAUAAUAUACUUUUAUAUAUAUGAUAUUAAAUUUUACUAUUAAAGUUUAAUGGCUUAAUCUUGCUUUACUGUUUGACAUACAGGUCUAUCAGUCGCGUAAGCGGGGCAUAUGAUCACAAGAUACAUAAAGGAAAGGUCUUGGAUUCUAGAAAAAGUUACGCUAGGGAUAACAGGCUAAUAUGCGCAAGAGAGUACAAAUUGAGUGCGCGGUUUGGCACCUCGAUGUCGGCUUAGCCCUUCCACAUGAAUGUAGAAAUCAUGAAGGGUUCGACUGUUCGUCGAUUAAAGGGCUACGUGAGCUGGGUUUAAUACGUCGUGAGACAGUAUGGUUUCUAUCUUCUAGAGGUAAUUAGAGUAAAAAAUAGAUAGCCCCUUCGUACGAAAGGAGUUGGGUAUAUUGACCUAUGGUUUACCUGUUGUUUAUUUUAUAUUGUUAUUAUACUUUUAAUUCUAAAGGUAUAAAGGGUUGGCUAACUCUUUAACAAGUUUGCAUAUAUUCACUAAUGUAUGAAUUUUAAUAGGCAUGGCAGGAAAGCUAAGUCAGUUAGAGAUAAGUGCUGAAAGCAUUUAAAGCGCGAAGCUCACUAUACUAUACUCUUAUAUAAACGUAGUAUAAUACUACGUAUAAAAAUUAUUUAUUUUUCGUAAAAGCACGAAAAAUUUAAUUUUUUAUAGGCUUUAGUUAUAAGAAUUUUAAUUAUUUUUAGACAUAAAGUACUAAUUAGUUAA
rnacentral:rRNA from 1 species